rnacentral:rRNA from 1 species
GAUGAACGCUGGCGGCGUGCCUAACACAUGCCAGUCGAGCGGACGGACGCUAAGCUUGUUUCUUUGAUGUUAGCGGCGGACGGGUGUGUAACACGUGGAUAAUCCACUUAUAUUACUGGGAUAAUCUCGGGACACCGGAGCUAAUACCGGAUAAUAUCCUGAACCGCAUGGUUCAAUAGUGAAUGACGGCCUUGGCGUCGGGGAUAGAUGGAUCGGCGCUGCAUUAGCUUGUUGGUGGGGUAGCGGCUUACCAAGGCUACGAUGGGUAGCAGACCUGAGAGGGUGACCGGCGACAUUGGGACUGAGGGAGGGCCCAGACUGGUACGGGAGGCAGCAGGGGGGAAGAUUGCACAAUGGGCGGAAGCGGGAUGCAGAAACGCUGCGGGCGGGAAGACGGUUUUAGGGGUGAAAACCGCUUUCGACUGUGACGAAGCGUGAGUGACGGUAACGGGAAAAGAAGCACCGGCUAACUACGUG